UACGUAGGGAGCGAGCGUUGUCCGGAAUUACUGGGUGUAAAGGGUGCGUAGGCGGAUACGCAAGUCAGUAGUGAAAACCAUGGGCUUAACCCAUGACGUGCUAUUGAAACUGUGUAUCUUGAGUGAAGUAGAGGCAGGCGGAAUUCCCGGUGUAGCGGUGAAAUGCGUAGAGAUCGGGAGGAACACCAGUGGCGAAGGCGGCCUGCUGGGCUUUAACUGACGCUGAGGCACGAAAGUGUGGGUAGCAAACAGG
rnacentral:rRNA from 1 species